rnacentral:tRNA from 1 species
UGGGUUGUAGCUCAGUGGUAGAGCGCCAGUCUUGAAUAUGUGAUGCACUGGGUUUAAUCCUCAGCACCACAU